rnacentral:rRNA from 1 species
AGUGAACGCUGGCGGUAGGCCUAACACAUGCGAGUCGAACGGCAGCACAGUAAGAGCCUGCUCUUACGGGUGGCGAGUGGCGGACGGGUGAGGAAUACGUCGGAAUCUACUUUUUCGUGGGGGAUAACGUAGGGAAACUUACGCUAAUACCGCAUACGACCUACGGGUGAAAGCAGGGGAUCUUCGGACCUUGCGCGAUUGAAUGAGCCGAUGUCGGAUUAGCUAGUUGGCGGGGUAAAGGCCCACCAAGGCGACGAUCCGUAGCUGGUCUGAGAGGAUGAUCAGCCACACUGGAACUGAGACACGGUCCAGACUCCUACGGGAGGCAGCAGUGGGGAAUAUUGGACAAUGGGCGCAAGCCUGAUCCAGCCAUACCGCGUGGGUGAAGAAGGCCUUCGGGUUGUAAAGCCCUUUUGUUGGGAAAGAAAAGCAGCAGGUUAAUACCCCGCUGUUCUGACGGUACCCAAAGAAUAAGCACCGGCUAACUUCGUG